CCACCCUGACAGAUUUCAGCCACCACAAACAGCUGACAGCUGCGAAGCUUUAAAGUGAGGAGAAUGAAGGCAGAGACAAUAAAGGAGCAGGUCAACAAGAACUGGCCUACUAUUGAAAAUGGAUGGAAAAAUAUUAUUAUUAUAGAAGCUGGAGAAGUAAGAGUCUAUUAAUCCACUCUCUGCCCAAGCAGGAUUGUUCCCUAAAGUACAUUCUCGAGUACUUCGUCCAUUAUAGAUUCAAAUGACUCAAGUGAUUCCCUAGUUUUAUUACCAACAAUUAUAUUGACCCAGAUGUUGGUAACUUUAUUGAUGACCAUAAUGUUUAAGCUCAGCUAUUUUUGAAUAAAUUUUGAUUUCCUC